rnacentral:rRNA from 1 species
UGGCUCGAGGAUGAACGCUAGCUACAGGCUUAACACAUGCAAGUCGAGGGCAGCAUUAUCGAAGCUUGCUUGAUAGAGUGGCCGACCGGCGCGACGGGUGAGUAACGCGUAUCCAACCUCCCAUCACUCGAGGAUACGCCCGACCGAAAGGCGUAAUUAAUACCUGAUGGUCUCCUUUGCGGACAUCUAACGAGGAGUAAAGAUUUAUUGGUGAUGGAUGGGGAUGCGUCUGAUUAGGUAGUAGGCGGGGUAACGGCCCACCUAGCCGACGAUCAGUAGGGUUCUGAGAGGAAGGUCCCCCACAUUGGAACUGAGACACGGUCCAAACUCCUACGGGAGGCAGCAGUGAGGAAUAUUGGUCAAUGGACGGAAGUCUGAACCAGCCAAGUAGCGUGCCAGGAUGACGGCCCUAUGGGUUGUAAACUGCUUUUGUGCGGGAAUAAAGUUUGGGACGUGUCCCAUUUUGCAUGUACCGCACGAAUAAGGACCGGCUAAUUCCGUGCCAGCCGCAGC